AUAGGGGAGCCGUAGGGAAACCGAGUCUUAACUGGGCGAAUGAGUUGCAGGGUAUAGACCCGAAACCCGGUGAUCUAUCCAUGGGCAGGUUGAAGGUUGGGUAACACUAACUGGAGGACCGAACCGACUAAUGUUGAAAAAUUAGCGGAUGACUUGUGGAUGGGGGUGAAAGGCCAAUCAAACCGGGAGAUAGCUGGUUCUCCCCGAAAGCUAUUUAGGUAGCGCCUCGUGAACUCAUCUUCGGGGGUAGAGCACUGUUUCGACUAGGGGGUCAUCCCGACUUACCAACUCGAUGCAAACUGCGAAUACCGAAGAAUGUUAUCACGGGAGACACACGGCGGGUGCUAACGUCCGUCGUGAAGAGGGAAACAACCCAGACCGCCAGCUAAGGUCCCAAAGUCAUGGUUAAGUGGGAAACGAAGUGGGAAGGCUCAGACAGCCAGGAUGUUGGCUUAGAAGCAGCCAUCAUUUAAAGAAAGCGUAAUAGCUCACUGGUCGAGUCGGCCCGCGCGGAAGAUGUAACGGGGCUAAACCAUGCACCGAAGCUGCGGCAGCGA
rnacentral:rRNA from 3 species